rnacentral:rRNA from 1 species
AUUGAACGCUGGCGGCAUGCCUUACACAUGCAAGUCGAACGGCAGCACGGGUGCUUGCACCUGGUGGCGAGUGGCGAACGGGUGAGUAAUGCAUCGGAACGUACCAUUGAGUGGGGGAUAACGUAGCGAAAGUUACGCUAAUACCGCAUAUUCUCUCCGGAGGAAAGCAGGGGAUCGCAAGACCUUGUGCUCUUUGAGCGGCCGAUGUCGGAUUAGCUAGUUGGUGAGGUAAAGGCUCACCAAGGCUACGAUCCGUAGCAGGUCUGAGAGGAUGAUCCGCCACACUGGGACUGAGACACGGCCCAGACUCCUACGGGAGGCAGCAGUGGGGAAUUUUGGACAAUGGGGGCAACCCUGAUCCAGCCAUGCCGCGUGAGUGAAGAAGGCCUUCGGGUUGUAAAGCUCUUUCGGACGGGAAGAAAUCAGCAAGGCUAUUAUCCUUGUUGGAUGACGGUACCGUAAUAAGAAGCACCGGCUAACUACGUGCCAGCCGCCGCUGUAA